AGUGUGCUUAGAAUAAUGACGGAAAUCCCAAUUUAAUGAACACUAUCUUACUAUUCUGUACACCUGUAAAUUUCUUCCGAUAUAAAUAACAGGUAUUUUCAAUCAAUUUCUAAAAAUAACUUAAAUUCUCAGAUCAAGAACACGGAAGUGAUCACAAACAUGUAAACAAUACAUAUCAAAGAUGAGCUCUACACCUUCUUGUUGUGAUUGGAAACUAAGUGAAAUAUUAAAAACACUCAUCACAAACACUGCUGGACUAGAUGUUGGACAAAUCAUACAUAUAAUAUUACAACUUAUAUCAUUCUUUAUUCUCAUCGGUUGUUUGGUUGCUGAUCAGUGGUUGUCCGGAGAUAUUGGCAAUCAAGGUCUUUGGAAUUACUGCUACACGAACGGGACAUCUUCGUGCUGUGGGAAGCUUGAUGAUGUUGUGGGUUAUAAAGAUUUUAUUGGUGCAACACGAGCUUUUUUAAUUAUUGAAAGUUUAAUUUUCCUUGCAAUAUUUUACACCAUCUACAAAACAGUAUACAAGAACGAUUCAGAUUACUUGAUAUCAACUUUUCUAACCGGAGUUAUCGGUUUUUGUACUUUCCUAUCAAUAACCAUUUAUGGAGCACGACAUGAUGAUGUCAGUAAAAGUACAAUGAAGUUGAGUGUUUCCUACAUAUUCUGUGCGCUGAAUCUCGGUUUACAGAUUAUUAUUGGCGUGUUUGGGUUAUGUUGGAUUUAAUGUGAUUAUGUGAAUUAACGUGUUAAUAUAUUGAUCAAAUUCUUUGUUUGCAAGUUAGAUUUUCAAAAUAAUGUUACAGUAGUCAUAUCAAUAAAUAACUGUAUUUGCCAUUUAAAAAUUUUGAAAGUUGUAAAAUCUAAUCAUUAUAAUUUAUUAUUGUU